rnacentral:lncRNA from 1 species
CACACACACCCAGUCCUGUCAAUCGCCUUCCAUACGGGCCUUGUUUCCUUUACAAAAAAUUUUACAAAAUUUUUUAUAUUCUUCGUCACAUUGAAUCUUUACGGCGCAUGUAUAGAGCAUAUAUUAAACAUAGAUAAAAAUAAUAACUAAUUACAUAGUUUGUCUGUAAUUUACGAGACGAAUUUUUUAAACCUACUUAAUUUUUGAUUGGAAAAUAUUUGUCAAAUAAAAACGAAAGUGCUAUAAUAUCUAUUU